rnacentral:rRNA from 1 species
GACGAACGCUGGCGGCGUGCUUAACACAUGCAAGUCGAACGGAAAGGCCCUGCUUUUGUGGGGUGCUCGAGUGGCGAACGGGUGAGUAACACGUGAUUAACCUGCCCUUGACUUUGGGAUAACUUCAGGAAACUGGUGCUAAUACCGGAUAGGAGCUCCUGCUGCUUGGUGGGGGUUGGAAAGUUUCGGCGGUUGGGGAUGGACUCGCGGCUUAUCAGCUUGUUGGUGGGGUAGUGGCUUACCAAGGCUUUGACGGGUAGCCGGCCUGAGAGGGUGACCGGCCACAUUGGGACUGAGAUACGGCCCAGACUCCUACGGGAGGCAGCAGUGGGGAAUAUUGCACAAUGGGCGGAAGCCUGAUGCAGCAACGCCGCGUGCGGGAUGACGGCCUUCGGGUUGUAAACCGCUUUCGCCUGUGACGAAGCGUGAGUGACGGUAAUGGGUAAAGAAGCACCGGCUAACUACGUG